AAAGUCGUAACAAGGUUUCCGUAGGUGAACCUGCGGAAGGAUCAUUAUUGAAUAAAUCUGGCGUGGUUGUAGCUGGCCCUCACGGGCAUGUGCUCGCUCGUCACCUUUAUCUUUCCACCUGUGAACACACUGUAGUCCUGGAUACCUCUCGCCGCAAGGCGGAUGCGGAGAUUGCUGGUCCACCUUCAUUGGAGGUCAGCUUUCUCUGAAUUUCCAGGGCUAUGAUCUUAUACACCCCAAUUGAAUGUUAUAGAAUGUCAUCAUAAGGCUUCGUGCCUAUAAACCUAUACAACUUUCAGCAACGGAUCUCUUGGCUCUC
rnacentral:misc_RNA from 1 species